AGAGUUUGAUCAUGGCUCAGGAUGAACGCUAGCGGGAGGCCUAACACAUGCAAGUCGAACGGGAAGGGCAGCAAUGCCCCGAGAGUGGCGCACGGGUGAGUAACGCGUAUGCAACCUGCCUUUAACUGAGGGAUAGCCCAUAGAAAUGUGGAUUAAUACCUCAUAGUUCUUUUGUCCUGCAUGGGAUGGAAGAUAAAGCUCCGGCGGUUAAAGAUGGGCAUGCGUGACAUUAGCUAGUUGGUGAGGUAACGGCUCACCAAGGCGACGAUGUCUAGGGGUUCUGAGAGGAUGAUCCCCCACACUGGUACUGAGACACGGACCAGACUCCUACGGGAGGCAGCAGUGAGGAAUAUUGGUCAAUGGGCGCAAGCCUGAACCAGCCAUCCCGCGUGCAGGAUGACGGCCCUAUGGGUUGUAAACUGCUUUUGUACACCAAGAAAACUCCCGACGUGUCGGGAUCUGACGGUAGUGUAUGAAUAAGCAUCGGCUAACUCCGUGCCAGCAGCCGCGGUAAUACGGAGGAUGCAAGCGUUAUCCGGAUUCAUUGGGUUUAAAGGGUGCGUAGGCGGCCUUUUAAGUCAGUGGUGAAAUCCUGCCGCUUAACGGUAGAAUUGCCAUUGAUACUGAAAGGCUUGAGUUCAGUUGAGGUAAGCGGAAUGUGUAGUGUAGCGGUGAAAUGCUUAGAUAUUACACAGAACACCAAUUGCGAAGGCAGCUUACUAAACUGACACUGACGCUGAUGCACGAAAGCGUGGGGAGCGAACAGGAUUAGAUACCCUGGUAGUCCACGCCGUAAACGAUGUUCACUCGCUGUUUGCGAUACACAGCAAGCGGCCAAGCGAAAGCAUUAAGUGAACCACCUGGGGAGUACGAUCGCAAGGUUGAAACUCAAAUGAAUUU
rnacentral:rRNA from 1 species